rnacentral:rRNA from 1 species
AUUGAACGCUGGCGGCAGGCCUAACACAUGCAAGUCGAACGGUAACAGGAAGCAGCUUGCUGCUUUGCUGACGAGUGGCGGACGGGUGAGUAAUGUCUGGGAAACUGCCUGAUGGAGGGGGAUAACUACUGGAAACGGUAGCUAAUACCGCAUAACGUCGCAAGACCAAAGAGGGGGACCUUCGGGCCUCUUGCCAUCGGAUGUGCCCAGAUGGGAUUAGCUAGUAGGUGGGGUAACGGCUCACCUAGGCGACGAUCCCUAGCUGGUCUGAGAGGAUGACCAGCCACACUGGAACUGAGACACGGUCCAGACUCCUACGGGAGGCAGCAGUGGGGAAUAUUGCACAAUGGGCGCAAGCCUGAUGCAGCCAUGCCGCGUGUAUGAAGAAGGCCUUCGGGUUGUAAAGUACUUUUCAGCGGGGAGGAAGGCGAUAAGGUUAAUAACCUUGUCGAUUGACGUUACCCGCAGAAGAAGCACCGCUAACU